rnacentral:rRNA from 1 species
UGGGGAAUAUUGGACAAUGGGCGCAAGCCUGAUCCAGCCAUGCCGCGUGAGUGAUGAAGGCCCUCGGGAUGUAAAGCUCUUUCACCGGUGAAGAUAAUGACGGUAACCUGAGAAGAAGCCCCGGCUAACUUCGUGCCAGCAGCCGCGGUAAUACGAAGGGGGCUAGCGUUUUUCGGAUUUACUGGGCGUAGAGCGCACGUAGGCGGACUUUUAAGUCAGGGGUGAAAUCCCGGGGCUCAACCCCGGAACUGCCUUUGAUACUGCAAGUCUUGAGUAUGGUAGAGGUGGGUGGAAUUCCGAGUGUAGAGGUGAAAUUCGUAGAUAUUCGGAGGAAAACCAGAGGAGAAGGAGGCUCACUGGACCAUUACUGACGCUGAGGUGCGAAAGCGUAGGGAGCAAACAGG